AGAAAGGCUAAAUAUUAGCCAUGUGGAAGGACUGAUUACAGGAAUCAUCUUUAAUUGAUCAGAUUUUUGUCUCUCAUAUUGAUCGCAUUUCCCCUCUUUGCAUGUGUCUGGUAAUUGUCACUUUCUAAACAUUGAGAUAAAAUAUUAUAAACAAUAUCAAUUGUCUGACUUUUCUUUUAAAGGGCAUAGGCACUCAUUCUGGAAGUAAAGUCACUAUCACGUGAGCCCGGUCUUUCUGGUUAGAAUGAUUUCAGUUUUCAUUCUCAUCUUAUGGCAUGACUCUGACUGCACCAUGUUGUUCUCAUAUAGUCAUUUGUCUGCACUAGUCAUUGAGCUCCCAUGGACUGCGGUAUUUUUCAAAAUGGCUGCUUGUCCCUGCUGACCACAUGUUCCUCAUUCAUUCCCAGGCUGCAGGAAGGGAUGGCUGCUGGGCCGUGUGGGCUCUUCCCAGUGUUCCUAUAGCGCAGCACUCAUUCAAAGGUCUGCAGGGAACCCCCAUGAAAACCUUUGAACUUUUCAACUCCUUUCCCUUGUCUCCUGUAUAGGUCUUCUCAGGAUCCCCACCCUACAAAUUUCAUCUCCCUCAACAAUGCCAAGCUUCGUCCCCACCUCCUAGUUGCUGCUGAACUGCUACUCUACUUGGGAAUCUAUCAUCCUGUUCCAAAAGAGGAGAUCAUCUCCGGGAAGGAAGGCUGGAUAGGCUGAAAGGGACCAUACAGUUUGCUUUAUGUCUUUUCUUCCUCAGAAGAAUCGCAUUUUGCAUUGCUUGGUGUGCAAUGCCUAGGAAUGGUUUCUUCAGCUCUCUUCAGAUCUUUUGUAGCUCAGACUGGCUUCCAGAUAGGAAGCCUAUUACAAGUGCUGGGAUUACAGAUGAAGAUGACUUCAGACAACCACAAUCAGUCCAAAUGCAGGGAACAAAAUAGUCACGAGGUACCCAGCCUCCACUGAUAUAUCCACAAUACAUCUCCACAUCUCCUGCACAUUAUGCUAUGGGACCGUCAUUGAAGAGAGUCGAGAGAUCUUCUGUGAGAUCUUGUCUCCUGGGAAUGACAGAGGAGCAUCACCCAUGAUGCCUCAACAAAGUGGCUGCCACAGCAAGAUCUGAAUAAGUACAGUGCCGAUAGACGUGCUAAGAUGAUAGAGAUAAAUCUCAAACAGACUGGGAAUGACAAGCAACUAAGGAGUGCCAAGUGUGGGAGAAAUGGUCUUUCCCAGGGAAGAACACACCACUUGAUGGUCAGCCCUGAGAUCAUAUGCAUAAGACUAACAUUAAACUGAGCAUAAUAUAUAUGGCACACGUACACUCACACAUGCACGCACACACACACAUACUCACACACACAUACAUGCUACACACACACACACACACACACACACACACACACACACACACACACAGGAACGCACAUUCCCAGAAGCUUAUGGGCCAGCAAGCUGGGCAUAUGUAUAAGCAAAUAACGAUUAGAUUCUGAGUUAAAUAAGAUAGAGAGUCAGGGCUGACACUACAAGCUCUCUGACCCCCACUUGCUACCACGGCACAUGGUACCUGCAUUCAUAUACACAGACGUUCAUACACACAUAUUUACACACACACAUUAUACACAGAAAGUGAACAGUUCUCUAAAAUUGGUACAUAUAACAGGAAAUAUUAAUAAUAUGUAUUAAAGAAAUUCUAUUCUUUAAAGAUUAUCAUUAAAUAUAAUUACCUCAUUUCCUCCCCCACUCUCUUUCCUUCUUCCAACUCUUCUCUUGCUCCCCCCUUCCCCCCACCAAUCUCUGGACUCUUUUGUCUUGUUCUUGUUACAUUUAUAUAUAAACUCAUAAAUGUACAAAUACGAAA